UAAUUAGCCACCUGAUGUCCAGUUUCCAAUCUCCCAGGUAUAAAAUAGCACGUGGAAGGGCCUUGCUCUCUCCUCCUUUGGCUAAGGAAGGCGGUGCACACAGCCAUUGGGAAGAUAUUCUCUGCACAUGAUUUUAAGAAGCUCUAUUCUGUGGAUGCCUGAAGACUUGCAUGUAAUUCUGCGGCAGGAGAACGUUAUUAGAAACUUCGCUCAGUCAACGACACACAGCACGUAUAAUCACUUCCCUGGCAUCACAAAGAACACCUUUGCCCAGGUGAUUUCCUCAGCCUCCACAGAUGUUGCCACAGCCUCUCGCGUACAUUCAGCUUCCGUCAGAGUAUCACAAAGCAGAUGCAUUUUCAAAAAUUUCUUGCAGCUGCUGAAUAUGUGCACUUUACGAACUAUGGGCAGCCUUUCAGUAAUUCUGCCUACCGACAGUUUUGAAUCACUGCUGAUUUGUGUACGCUGAUCGAUGAGCAUGGUUUAAUAAUGUAAUGUGAUCCUUAUUCCAGUUUUGGCAUCAGACCAAUUUAACCUCCUCUAAUAUGUCCACCAUUAUGGGUAUUUUUUUUAAAUUAGGAGGUCUCCUUCUCUAAUAUAUCGUGACUACCCUUCCAACUUCAUCUUUAUCCUCCAAGACAGGAAAAUAAGGAAAACUUCUUAAAGAGACAGCUACACCAGCAGACUGCUUUGAGACCUGUACCAUCAAGCACCUUGCUGUGACUGUAUUCUGCAGCUGCCUACACCUUAUUUUACUUUUCUAAGGAGCUAAAGUGAGAGUUCCUCAAAGCUGCAAACAUUUCCAGUUAACUAGGCAUCCAGAACAUUCCUACUCCAAAUCAAGCAGAAAACAAUACAUACCAACAACAUGACAUUCAGGUCCCCCCAUCCAACAUUUCAGAAGCUGGGAAUAAUGAUCACAAAUUGAAAAUUUUCUCCUUUACAUAAAAAGUGCAUGAUAAGAAUAAUAAUCACUUCCCCACUCAAUACCCAUGCACGGUCCAUUGGGUAAGUUCUGUUAUUUAUUGAAUCAUUAAGAAACACAGAGUGGAAAUGGGCUCUUCAGGACAGUACGUCUGUGCCAACCCAUUUUAUUUUAUUAAUCUUACAUUUGACCUUGGGUGGUGGGGUGGAGAUAUGUCUCUCUCAAAGGAGGUAUAAGGAUCUCCUUCCCUUUGCUAACCGCAGGUCUUCCUUGGGCAAGAUGUAGCACUUGCUUAGCCCCCACCCCCCCAAUCAGGGUCAAUUGAAGUCAUGGGAGCAGGUGGUGGAUGGUCAUAUGAGCAGCUGGUGCAUAUCACAAGUCCUGGUUAUGUGAUCACCAACACCAGGCAGACAAUCUCUGAAGAGUAUUGACAACGGAUGGGGAAGAAGACAAUGGCAAAGCAAUCAUGGUCACCCUCCAAGAGGACUACAACCUUGUUGUGGUUCGGAGGCUUGCGUGCCUCAAUGACCCAGAGAGCUAUGCUGGCUGAAGUCAAGGCUUUAUGCUUUGGUUCUUGGCAGAAUCACCCAUGCCAAACACAUCAAAGGGUAGACGGAAGACUAAGAGUGGUCCACCUGUCCUCCAGCUGUUCAGGCUCAGAGCUGACAACUCUGACUGGUAAAACAAAACUGUUAUGGAGACAGAAGUGAAGAAUCCUUCUUCAUCUGAGUGUGAUGGUUUUCCUGAGUCUCCACCAGGGACUUGCAUGACUGAGAGUAGUGAACACCGACAGGAAGCUACUUGCAUGAUGAAGGAAACCCUGAACACCACCAGAGAUGGUGGACUUCAUUGCUGCCCUCAACGCCAGUGGUGUAAUGGGCAGUAAGUAAGUAGUCAUCGUCAUGGAAAGACCAUGACUGCCUACAUCAUUUGUCAUGGUACAUGAUGAAUAAAUGAAUGAACAUUCAACCCAAUUUCUCAUUGACUAUCCCCAGAAUCUACCACCCACCUAUAAUAGGGGUAAACUACAGUGACAAAUUAACCUACUGAUCUGCAAAUCUUUAGGAUGCUGGGGAAGAGCAGAACCCCUGGAGGAAUGAGUUACAGUGAGAGUACGUAAAUGUGAAAACUGACUCCACCUGACCACGGGAUCCACCCUGGCCCUCUGGCACUGUGAGACCUAACUCUGCCACCUCUCAGAGAUCAAAAACAGAGGGAAAAAAUACCCAGUCGUAACUGAUAGAGCAAAAUUAAAGCUGCUGCUAUAAGCUGAUGCCCAGACAUUUCAAACUACAUUUAUUAUCAAAGUAUGUAUACUUUAUACAAGCUUCAGAUUCAUCUCCUUACAGGCAGCCACAAGAUAAAGCAACCCAAAAGAACCCAUUCAAAAAAAGACGGGCAAACACCCAACAUGCAGAGAGAAAACAAAAUUGUGCAAACUACAAAAAGAAGCAACUGCACCCAGGACAAAAUUGAGUCUAUAGAGAUGAAGCUAGAACAGACCACAGCCUCAGUUCAGUGCAGAGCCGUGCAAAUAUCUUUAAGGUUUUCAGCAGUUUGCUUUGAGUGGGCAAUGAAUUAAAAUGAUGAGGUGAUAUCAGCUACUGGAUCAAUAUCAGGUACUAGACUCAGCCAAAUAGAUCACUGGCACAUCCCUCCCUGCCACUGGGAUUAUAUGCAGGAGACACUGCUUCAAGAAAGCAACAUCUAUCAUUAAAGAUCCCCAGCGUAUCAGCCCUGCCCUCUUUUUGCAGCUACCGCUGGCCAGGAAGUACAUCAUCAGGUUCAAGAACGGGUACUUCCCCUCAAUCAUUCUGCUCCCAAAACAGCUGCAAAAACCUCUCAUUACGUUUUAGCAACACUACAACCACUCUGCACUAAGAUGGUCUCGUUUUCAUUCUCGUUGUUUUCUUCCGUGUAAAGAAUGUGCAUAUCUUGUGUUUUUACUGUGAAUGCUUCCUAUGUGACGUUUUUUUAACUCUCAGCAUAUCGGGUGUUUGUUUUUUUAAAUGGGUUCUUUUGUAUUUCUUUGUUUUGUGGCUGCCUGUGAGGAGACAAAUCUCAAGGCUGUAUG